rnacentral:rRNA from 1 species
UCGGGAAUUUUGGGCAAUGGGGGCAACCCUGACCCAGCAACGCCGCGUGAAGGAUGAAGUCCUUCGGGAUGUAAACUUCGAAAGAAUGGGAAGAAGCAAAUGACGGUACCAUUUGUAAGCCCCGGCUAACUCCGUGCCAGCAGCCGCGGUAAUACGGAGGGGGCAAGCGUUGUUCGGAUUUACUGGGCGUAAAGGGCGCGUAGGCGGCCCCGCAAGUUACUUGUGAAAUCUUGAGGCUUAACCUCAAGCGGCCAAGUAAUACUGCGAGGCUCGAGUGCAGAAGGGGCAACUGGAAUUCUUGGUGUAGCGGUGAAAUGCGUAGAUAUCAAGAGGAACACCGGAGGCGAAGGCGGGUUGCUGGGCUGACACUGACGCUGAGGCGCGAAAGCUAGGGGAGCAA